UAUAAGUAAUAUAUAAAUAUAUAUAUAAUAUUACGUUUAGUAACAAAGUUACUACUUCACUAAUAUA
rnacentral:tRNA from 1 species